rnacentral:rRNA from 1 species
CCUACGGGUGGCAGCAGUGGGGAAUAUUGGGCAAUGGGCGCAAGCCUGACCCAGCACCGCCGCGUGAAGGACGAAGGCUUUCGGGUUGUACACUUCUUUUGUCCGGGAAGAGUAGAAGACGGUACCUGCCGAAUAAGCCACGGCUAACUACGUGCCAGCUGCCGCGGUAAUACGUAGGUGGCAAGCGUUGUCCGGAUUUACUGGGUGUAAAGGGCGUGUAGCCGGGGUGACAAGUCAGAUGUGAAAUCCUGCGGCUUAACCGCAGAACUGCAUUGGAAACUGUUGAUCUUGAGUACUGGAGAGGCAGACGGAAUGCCUAGUGUAGCGGUGAAAGGCGUAGAUAGUAGGAGGAACACCAGUGGCGAAGGCGGUCUGCUGGACAGCAACUGACGGUGAGGCGCGAAAGCGUGGGGAGCAAACAGGAUUAGAGACCCCUGUAGGC